GGUGGUUCUCAGGUGACGUGCCCCAGAAUCGGGCUCCCUCCUCUCUGGUUUUGGGUGCAUCACCUAAGAACCGCC
rfam:Myotis lucifugus cont2.34355, whole genome shotgun sequence.